GGGAUGUAGAUCAAAGUCACAUUCCUCACAGUAGAAUGACCAGACUUGUCCCAUUUCGUCGCAUACAUCACAGACAUAAUUACUGCGACGAGUGAGCACCAGCUCAUGCUCCUCAUGCCGUUCAUCUUUCAGUUUCUCCGGCCACCCUUUUGCCAUCUCCUCAAUCUGUGCCUCAAUCUCCUUCAACCUCUCCUCAGUGAAAGGAUAAGCAUCCGCCCCAUGAGCCAUGACCAGACUCCUUGCCUCUUUUGUAAUAGUUUUUCCAGUUGGUCCGAGUGCUAUAAGCAUAGGGAUGCCUUGGACCUUGAAUUUGCGACUCAAUGAUGAUUUCCGAG
rnacentral:lncRNA from 1 species